CACGCCCACUUUUACGCCCACAAACCGCCCACAAACUUCAAAAAAUUGGUAAGUAUGAACGUGGAUAUCUCGGAAACUAUCAAAGAUAGAGAAUUGGGAUCUCAGAUUUAAAUUCCGUAGCCUUGUGGGAGUCAGUAUUUUCGGCUAAGUUGGCAUUCCUAGUUAAGACAUUACCCAUGGUAAUUAACAUAAAUAGCCCAGAUGCAACCCUUCAGUUUAGCAAGGAUCCGAUCCUCGCUCGAAUACCAAAAAUACCAUUUUUAUGGAUUUUGGGGAUUUUGUGCAUCUUACAUCCCAAUAUUGGUGCAGUGACCAUAGACACGUGCAAAUUCUCGGAAUUGACGGAAGCUUUACAGUCCCCCCUCUGCGCACAGCAAGGAGCAGGUGCCGCGUGCAGCGAUUCAUCAGCGGAACCAUACAUUUCUUCAGCGCCAGGCCAUAAUCGCCAUUUGGGAUUCUUAUACCGCACACCGCGUGAAAGGAAUCUGUCUUCUUUGCCACACCUGGAUUAAUUUCAUCAUCGGCGGCUUCAAGGAUCGCCGCAGUCGACCCGCGUGAGGUUUUGACCUUGCCAAGUCCGCACGACGAUCUACAAGUCAGAUCACGUUGCAGUUCGGGCGAAAAACGCACCGGCGCCGAUUCGGCGUAAUUCGGGCAAGACCGCGGAAGCAGAUGCCGCAUCCCAAUUGGAAUUUGAGUUCCAAUUCUGGUUUCCAGUUAAUUUUGCCGGGACUGCCAACUCGUUUUUGUAUCGCUAAAGCGAUUGUUGUUUAAUUUUCUUAUUCUAAAUAUUUGUACGCUAAGUUUAUAAUUUAAUUUACGAUUCCUAUUUAGCCAUUAUACUUGCGUGUGUGCUUACGACAUAGUAUGACAUAUAUACACCUAAAUUAAAUUAUUCUACAGUGCACAUCGAUCGUCAUCAGGCCUGCUGACUUCGUUGGAGAGUUCGUAAGUACGGCAUAGCCGUAAAUCAUUUACAUUCCUACAUAUAUAUUCAUUCAUGUCUGAGCCCGCACACUUUUGGUACAAAUAUAUCCAUGUAAAUUUCCCACAUUCGUUUAUUGAUAAAUAUUAAUUAUUUGCUUUUAUAUAAUUUAACGUAAUCCGCCUAAGUGCUUUUCUGUAAUUUUUGAAUAAGUUUGCCGCAUAUCGAUAAAACAUGUAAUCAGUUUCGUAACAAUUUAACGUAAACAAAAUAUCCAUUUCUUUUUCUAUUUGAUAAUCUUGUACUGACACACGAUCAUAUAGAGAGUCUUUCGGCGUAAAGAACGCUUAGUUUUAAGGUUUUAGUGUUAGGAUUUGUAGUAUUAAGAACUAUGAACCAUAUUAUCGUAUUUGCCGUAUUAAAUGAAAUUUAAGAUGAAUUAAUUUGUGAUCUUUUGAGGGCACCUUAGAGGAUGUAGCGCAGCGGUUGUUUUAAGGGUGGAGUCUAAUGAGACUUCACAGGUAGGGUGGGUAUAGAAGGUGGCCAAUAACAUCUGGGCUUCCGUCUUCGAUAGGUACGAAAUGUAUUGAUCUCGUCAAUACCUAUCGAUUGAUCCAAAAAAACGUUUGCCAUGUCCACUCUAACGCCCAUAACGCUUAAAUCUGUCUACCGCCGGUAGGUGGCGUAUUUAAAUCUCGCUUUGCUGCUUGCAUAUCUCCAUUUCCCUUUGGUCCCUUAAGCUGAGUUACGCGUAUCUGAUAGUCGAGGUACUCGACUGUUUGUUUAUUUUAGAUAUUGAUGAUCCAAAUAGCCUGGCUUCGCAUGUACCGUAUUUACUCGGUCGUGACGGUCCUUCUCCCCAAGGAUUGUGCUCAGCAGAAAGGACUACUACCCACUGUUGCUACGAUGGACUCAGCUGGUUUCCGAUGUCGCUUUCUAGUGGCACAUUAUCCUGAUUGGGCACCAUUGUCAGGAUCUGCUGUUCGCGCGGUGUAGUUGCCGGCUAGUCAUGGAAUGUCCCAGGUAGGGGAACAACCGAAAUGGUAUCCACGCAGCAGACACAACAAAAACAAAACGGAAUUUCAAACUUGGACAGCGGUUAUUUUCACGACGGAUUUUGAACAUCAUGGCUGGACUACACGGUUAUAAUCGUAGUCCUUGGAGUCCCACCCAAUCAUUAGUGUAUCCUGAAUCAUACAGCGGACACAUCUCCCAACUUUGUGUUGGUCAUAUUCAAUCGCCUAUUUCAUCUCACUCCCCCAACACGAAUCUUUACUCAGACGAAUUCAUUUCGCUAGCACAUUCUAUUUUAAAAAUGUCUCUUAAGGUGUAACAUUUAUUAAGCCUAUCUACGGUACCGAAGGGCUUUUACAAGGAACAUGCAUACAUAAAUAAAUACUAAAUAAUAUUGCUAGUACUUGUGAAAAAUAAAUAAAUAAUUUAAAUGAAUAAUGUUUUAAAUAGACACAAAUUUCGAUAAAUUAAAUUAUUAAUACGUUAAUCAGUCUAUUUUAAUGUGACAUUUUAAGUUUCGUUGCUCUCAAUUUCUCUUGAAGUGUAAUUUCUAAUUUGUGUAAGAAGAUUUUUAUUUAAGAUCUUAUAAAAAACUGGGGCCAUCCAGGAAUGAAUGGCCAAUUUUAUGUGUGAAAACUUAUUAUUUUCCUGGUAGCUAAGCUUAUUUUAUUUUCCAUAAAUUCUCUGCUAAUGAUCCUGUUUUAUUCACUCAAGAUUAUUUGGUAAAAGUCGGAAUUUUUUUAUAUAAAAGUUUUUGCGAAUAUAACCGUCGUUAACCACUGAAUUAAGCCCUUUACUUUCUCUUGAUGUAAUUUUUCUCACUCUCUCCCUUCGCCCAGAAACCACUCUAAAUUUUCGGGUUUAAGCCUCGGUUCAUUUUGGCGUCACUUGACUCUGUUGCUCGACCCUCUGGACUCA